AUACGGAGGGGGUUAGCGUUGUUCGGAAUUACUGGGCGUAAAGCGUGCGUAGGCGGACUAUUAAGUCAGAGGUGAAAUCCCGGGGCUCAACCCCGGAACUGCCUUUGAUACUGGUAGUCUUGAGGUCGAGAGAGGAGAGUGGAAUUCCUAGUGUAGAGGUGAAAUUCGUAGAUAUUAGGAGGAACACCAGUGGCGAAGGCGGCUCACUGGCUCGAUUCUGACGCUGAGGUACGAAAGUGUGGGGAGCAAACAGGAUUAGAAACCCUAGUAGUCC
rnacentral:rRNA from 1 species